rnacentral:rRNA from 1 species
CCUACGGGCGGCAGCAGUGGGGAAUAUUGGACAAUGGGGGCAACCCUGAUCCAGCCAUGCCGCGUGUGUGAAGAAGGCCCUCGGGUUGUAAAGCACUUUCAGUGAGGAAGAACGCCUGGUGGUUAAUACCCAUCAGGAAAGGCAUCACUCACAGAAGAAGCACCGGCUAACUCCGUGCCAGCAGCCGCGGUAAUACGGAGGGUGCGAGCGUUAAUCGGAAUUACUGGGCGUAAAGCGCGCGUAGGUGGCUUGAUAAGCCGGUUGUGAAAGCCCCGGGCUCAACCUGGGAACGGCAUCCGGAACUGUCAAGCUAGAGUGCAGGAGAGGAAGGUAGAAUUCCCGGUGUAGCGGUGAAAUGCGUAGAGAUCGGGAGGAAUACCAGUGGCGAAGGCGGCCUUCUGGACUGACACUGACACUGAGGUGCGAAAGCGUGGGUAGCAAACAGGAUUAGAUACCCCAGUAGUC